GUCCAGCCGCCGCGGUAAUACCGGCAGCCCGAGUGAUGGCCGAUCUUAUUGGGCCUAAAGCGUCCGUAGCUGGCUGCGCAAGUCCGUCGGGAAAUCCACUCGCCCAACGAGUGGGCGUCCGACGGAAACUGCACAGCUUGGGACCGGAAGGCUCGAAGGGUACGUUCGGGGUAGGAGUGAAAUCCCAUAAUCCCGCACGGACCACCGAUGGCGAAAGCACUUCGGGAAAACGGAUCCGACAGUGAGGGACGAAAGCUAAGAUCGCGAACCGGAUUAGAAACCCGGGUAGUCC
rnacentral:rRNA from 1 species